rnacentral:misc_RNA from 1 species
UCCGGUUUGGCACCGGCAGUCUCCCAUGAGUCCCCGGCAUGACCCGCUGGCAAUAUGGGACAGGGGUUGCGCUCGUUGCGCCACUUAAGGCAACACCUCACGGCACGAGCUGACGACAGCCAUGCAGCACCUGUGCUCCUGCCCAAUAAAGGGAAACCGUGUUUCCACGGCGGUCAGGAACAUGUCAAACCCAGGUAAGGUUCUUCGCGUUGCGUCGAAUUAAACCACAUGCUCCGCUGCUUGUGCGGGUCCCCGUCAAUUCCUUCGAGUUUUAGCCUUGCGGCCGUACUCCCCAGGCGGGGCACUUAAUGCGUUAGCUCCGGCACGGGAGGAGUCGACACCUCCCACACCUAGUGCCCAUCGUUUACGGCGUGGACUAC